UAUGUUAAUAGCAUAUUCAUUUGACGUUAGCUGCAGAAGAAGCACCGGCUAACUCCGUGCCAGCAGCCGCGGUAAUACGGAGGGUGCGAGCGUUAAUCGGAAUUACUAGGGCGUAAAGCGCAUGCAGGUGGUUUGUUAAGUCAGAUGUGAAAGCCCGGGGCUCAACCUCGGAAUUGCAUUUGAAACUGGCAAACUAGAGUACUGUAGAGGGGGUAGAAUUUCAGGUGUAGCGGUGAAAUGCGUAGAGAUCUGAAGGAAUACCGGUGGCGAAGGCGGCCCCCCUGGACAGAUACUGACACUCAGAUGCGAAAGCGUGGGGAGCAAACAGGAUUAGAUACCCUGGUAG
rnacentral:rRNA from 1 species